CCAUGCUCAGUUGGUGAGAGCCUGGUGCUGAUAAUGCCAAGGUUGCAGGUUCAAUCCCCAUAUGGG
rnacentral:tRNA from 1 species